rnacentral:rRNA from 1 species
UCUGGCUCAGAUUGAACGCUGGCGGCAGGCUUAACACAUGCAAGUCGAGCGGUAACAGAGAGUAGCUUGCUACUUUGCUGACGAGCGGCGGACGGGUGAGUAACGCGUAGGAAUCUGCCUGGUAGUGGGGGAUAGCCCAGAGAAAUUUGGAUUAAUACCGCAUACGCCCUACGGGGGACAGGAGGGGAUCUAUUUAUAGACCUUUCGCUGAUGAGCCUGCGUGAGAUUAGCUUGUUGGUGAGGUAAAGGCUCAUCAAGGCGACGAUCAGUAGCUGGUCUGAGAGGAUGAUCAGCCACACUGGAACUGAGACACGGUCCAGACUCCUACGGGAGGCAGCAGUGGGGAAUAUUGCACAAUGGGGGAAACCCUGAUGCAGCCAUGCCGCGUGUAUGAAGAAGGCCUUCGGGUUGUAAAGUACUUUCAGUCGUGAGGAAGGUUAGGUAGUUAAUAACUGCUUAGCUUGACGUUAGCGACAGAAGAAGCUCCGGCUAACUCCGUGCCAGCAGCCGCGGUAAUACGGAGGGAGCGAGCGUUAAUCGGAAUUACUGGGCGUAAAGCGCAUGCAGGCGGUUUAUUAAGUCAGAUGUGAAAGCCCUGGGCUCAACCUAGGAAAGUCAUUUGAAACUGGUAAACUAGAGUCUUGUAGAGGGGGGUAGAAUUUCAGGUGUAGCGGUGAAAUGCGUAGAGAUCUGAAGGAAUACCAGUGGCGAAGGCGGCCCCCUGGACAGAUACUGACACUCAGAUGCGAAAGCGUGGGGACCAAACAGGAUUAGAUACCCUGGUAGUCCACGCCGUAAACGAUGUCUACUUGGAGGUUGUGGCCUUGAGCCGUGGCUUUCGGAGCUAACGCGUUAAGUAGACCGCCUGGGGAGUACGGUCGCAAGAUUAAAACUCAAAUGAAUUGACGGGGGCCCGCACAAGCGGUGGAGCAUGUGGUUUAAUUCGAAGCAACGCGAAGAACCUUACCCGCUCUUGACAUCCACAGAAGCCAGUAGAGAUACAGGUGUGCCUUCGGGAGCUGUGAGACAGGUGCUGCAUGGCUGUCGUCAGCUCGUGUUGUGAAAUGUUGGGUUAAGUCCCGUAACGAGCGCAACCCUUGUCCUUAUUUGCCAGCACGUAAUGGUGGGAACUCUAAGGAGACUGCCGGUGACAAACCGGAGGAAGGUGGGGACGACGUCAAGUCAUCAUGGCCCUUACGAGCGGGGCUACACACGUGCUACAAUGGCCAGGACAAACGGCUGUAAACCUGCGAAGGUAAGCUAAUCUCACAAAACCGGUCGUAGUCCGGAUCGGAGUCUGCAACUCGACUCCGUGAAGUCGGAAUCGCUAGUAAUCGUGGAUCAGAAUGCCACGGUGAAUACGUUCCUGGGCUUUGUACACACCACCCGUCACACCAUGGGAGUGGAUUGCAAAAGAAGUGGGUAGACUAACCUUCGGGGGGUCGCUCACCACUUUGUGGUUCAUGACUGGGGUGAAGUCGUA